rnacentral:rRNA from 1 species
AUACGUAGGGUGCAAGCGUUAAUCGGAAUUACUGGGCGUAAAGCGUGCGCAGGCGGUUUUGUAAGACAGUGGUGAAAUCCCCGGGCUCAACCUGGGAACUGCCAUUGUGACUGCAAGGCUGGAGUGCGGCAGAGGGGGAUGGAAUUCCGCGUGUAGCAGUGAAAUGCGUAGAUAUGCGGAGGAACACCGAUGGCGAAGGCAAUCCCCUGGGCCUGCACUGACGCUCAUGCACGAAAGCGUGGGGAGCAAACAGGAUUAGAUACCCCGGUAGUCCACGCCCUAAACGAUGUCAACUGGUUGUUGGGGAUUUAUUUUCUCAGUAACGAAGCUAACGCGUGAAGUUGACCGCCUGGGGAGUACGGCCGCAAGGUUAAAACUCAAAUGAAUUGACGGGG